GGGACUAUCACCAUUCAACUCAGGACCACUUGACCUUUCAAAUAUCACAAGGUCAAGGUCAUAGUAUAAUGUGAAGGUCAAGGUGAAAUUUCAUCAUGACCUGACAUUGACCUCAAAUUGAAGGUCUUGAAUUACUGAUCAUCUUUGCAGUUUGUAGUAGGUUGAUAUAUGUUACCUUUAAAAAGAUAUACACAAAAUACUAUAUUUAUAAGAAUCAUCCCGUUGUAACUUUUGAACAGACGGUCGGACAUUUUUGGGCGAAUUAUAUAAAAUGUAGAGCUCGUCGAGAGGAACAUUUUAUACGCUGUAUGUAGGCAGCAAAGUCUUAUCGUUUUCCUAAUAUGUAAGCUUGAAAUUGCAGCGUCAUUUUUUUUUGCACUCUGUGACCUUUGACCUUUGGGUGCAUAUUGAAGGUCACAUGCAUUAAAGAUUAUUGGUGAAGGUCCCAAGUCUCUACGACUUCCGGUUCUCGAAAUAGAUUUUUUCUAAAAUUGUGUACAAUUUAUCAAGGGAAAUAACUCCUUAUAAGGGUUAAUAACAAAAUAAUUGUAUAUGUUCAUUAACAUUGCUCUCUGUUCCUGUACAUGUUGCCGUUUUCAAAUCGAUUCUAUCUCUAAUACUUUUUAAGAAAAAUGCAAAGGAAAGAAAUCGUUUCAAGGGGAUAUAACUCUCAUAGGGGAAGAUGAAAUCCUAUUCAGCCUCAUAUGGUAAUACAUCAUGAUGAGAUGUACCUAUUGUCCAAAUAAGGUCAUGAUAUCUUUAAAAACAACGAGGGGGGGGGGCUAUGUUGAAAAAAAAUCAAUAAAAGGGAGAUACCUUCAUAAGGGGAUGAUGAAAUCCUUAACAAUGUCAUCUGGUAAUACUUCAUGAUGAGGUCUAUCGAUGGUUACUAUUUGGUAUUCAUAACUUCAAAAUAAACAAGAUGCGGGCAUGUCAAGAAAAUGUUGGAAGAAAAAAAAGAAAAAAAAAAAAAAAAAACAUUAGAAAAACAAUAAGGUCUUUCCUCGCGUAGAGGAAAGACCUUAAAAAUGACAAAACUUACGAUGCCAGGAAUUAUAGUAAACAAAACAGAUGUAAAUAUUAAGUAUACACCUUAUGGUGAUACCCAAACACUUCACUAAAAUUAAUUUGAUUCGUUUAAUUUUCAUAAAAUUUUGACAAAGCAUUUACUUUGACUCUUUGACAAAAACAUAAAAAAAAUAAAAAAAUUGAACCAACCAUUUUAUCAGAAAAAUGCAAUGGUUACAUAGCAGUUUGACAAACAAUAAUUUUGAUCAUUGAGAAGCUAAAUAUUUCCUUAACAACACAACGUGAAUAAAUGUUUAGCUGAUUUUACAGAGUUAUAUCCCUGUAGUGUUAGGUAACACCUUCAUUGACAUAUAAAAGAUAUGAAUCAGAUCAGCAAGAUAUGCAGUAUAAAAUGUUAUUAAAAAAAUACCUAAAAAUUGCUUGACACAUUCGAGACAUGUGAAUAAUAGCAACAACUGUUUGAAGGCAUCACCUUGUAAGAGCCACAUACAUUUUCAAUUUUGUGUUGCUCAUGGUUUAUUUCUAAAUAAUUUCUAAAAGUUACUGGAUAUUGUAUCAGAAAAAUACAGGGGUGGCUUCAUUCCCCCCCUUUCAUGGCAUAAAAAAUAUGCAAGUUUUGCCUUGCUCCUCUUGCAAAAGCUAUUCCAUUAACCUAAAUUCAAGGGUUUGGCCCUGAAUUUAAUAAAUAUUCUUUUAAUUUAUUGUAGCUUUUUUGCUCACUAAUCAGAGAUGACACUUUGAAAAAUUGGUUGUAUUAAUGGACAUAGAAAUAUCGGGCGUCCGUCUGUCCAUCUGUCCUUCCGUUUGUCUGUCAGGUCUUGUUAGCGCUCUCACAUGUGCAAUUCUUGUCAGAUUUUUAUGAACUUAUAUCAUAGGUUUAUAUCAGAAAUGUCUAGGACAAGUUCGAAAAUCAGUGCCGAUCAACUAUUUAAAAAAAAGUUAUGUCCCUUGGAAAUAUUAAUUACAUGGAAAAUUGCAUUGCUAGCACUCUCAUGUGUAUAAUUCUUGCCAUAUUUUUAUGAAUCUUAUAUCAUAGGUUUAUAUCAGAAAUGUCUAAGGCAAGUUCGAAAAUCAGUGCCGAUCAACUAUUUUUAAAAGAGUUAUGUCUCUUGGAAAUAUUAAUUACAUGGAAAAUUGCAUUGCUAGCACUCUCAUGUGUAUAAUUCUUGCCAGAUUUUUAUGAAUCUUAUAUCAUAGAUUUAUAUCAGCAAUGUCUUAGACAAGUUUGAAAAUCUACUAUGUUUAAAAGAGGUAUGCCCCUUGGAAUUAAUUACAUGGAAAGUUGCAUUGUUAGCGCUAUCUUGUAUACAAUUCUUGCCAGAUUUUUAUGAAACUUAUAUUAGCAAUGUCUCAGAUAAGUUCGAUAAUCAGUGCCGAUCAAUUGUUUUUAAAAGAGUUAUGCCUCUUGAAAAUAUCAAUUACAUUGAAAAUUGCACUGAAGCAUUCCAAAGCUUACAUUUCUAUAAGAUAUUUAUAAAACGUUUUAAAGUACAAAAAAAAAAAAAUGUUUUUUAGUUUUUGCCCUUGGACCUAUAAAAAAUGUUGAACGUGGGGGAGACUGGAACUUUUAUUCAUAUUUACCAAAUUUACCCUCAUAUUUUUUUUUUUUGGAAAUGUACAUAUAUAUUGAUUAUUGUUGUUUUGUUUCAGGUGAUACUAACAUUGUUGGAAAUGUCGCAGGAUCACUUUGAUAAACUAAAAAAUCAACAACGAAUUGAGGAAAGUGACAAAGCUGUUAUUUAUUACUCCAGACCUUUUGAUAUCAUUUAUGUUAAUGAUAGAAACACAUUAAUUGACUGCUUUAUGAGAUUAAACAAUAUUGAAUAUAAAUAGACAUGUUUUUAUUUCACCAAAUAAUAUAAAAUUAUACUGUAUAUCUGGAAAUAUUGUGCAACUUAAUCGGUAGUUAUUGUACCCCAAUGUUUUUGUUCAUUGAAAUGGAUUGUACUUGGCCAUGAAAGGAGAAAAAAAUAAAAGCAGUGAUUAUUUAACUUUUCAAAGGCCCAAACUGCAUACAAAAUUUGAUGCAAAAAUAACCUGAUAUACGGUGUAUUGGUACAUGUGCAUUAUCAUUGUGUGUUAGCAUUUACUUGGUGCAAUGCAAUUGAUUACAAAAAUAAGAAAUAUAAUUGAUGCCUAAAAAGCAGCUUAUUCAGACCAUUUUAAUGAUGGACAUACUUUAUUUAGAUAUAAGGUAUAUCCACUUUUUUAGGCAAAAAAAAACAAGAAUUAAUUGUAUGGGGGGGGGGGGGGGAAGGACGACGGACAUUUUUAUUACAAUUUAAUGGGUGGUGGUUAUUUAAGAAAGAUUGCUUGAACGUUUAAUUGAAAUAACCAAUUUAAAAUGUAUGCAUGGUGGGGUCAAAGUCAAACCAGAUUAAACAACAGUAUUUGGUAACCAUAAAGAAAAAUCUUUGAUCAUUUAAAAAAUGUGUGAUUAUACAUUCAUUUGGGGCCACAAGAGGGUGCUACAAAUUUGUGUUUAUUAAGUAAUAUUAUUGCCAACUAUUUCUGAAAGCUUGGUUCACAAUUUUUGAACAAACAGUCCUGCAGACGAAAAUGUCUGCUUUAAUUGCACGGAUGUAGCGGAUAGGCUAAGGUCAACAUUUUUGACUAAAAUGUUAGCUUAGGGAAACUGUCCUUGUGUAUAGACGACUUCUUCUUGGGGCCAUUUUAAAUGACAAUUAAGCACAAACAUGCUUAACAAAACGUAUUCUAACUAUGAAUAAUCUUUGAUUACUAUUUAAUUGUCAGAUGGGCAUUCACAGGAAAAUUAAUUUUAUAUAAAAAGGGUGUUCUAACAGGAAACUGAUUAGUAGAGUAUCCUUUUGGUGUUCGAUGCUCAGUACUACCGAGCAAUACUUGAGUACUCGAGUACUCGUUGACAACCCUAAUAUAUAGAUAGUUUUUUUGCACAUAAUUGAUGUACCAACAUGACAUCAUAUAUCCUGUUCUGGCAUCAAACUUGAACUAUUGACAUUUUAAAACUUUUUGUACCCUUCAGAAUGUAAUAAAAUUUGACAAAAAUAAUAUUUGCAGGUUAAAAGUGCGAGUGUUUUGUAUGAUAAAAUAUUGCCAUGGAGGAUAUGUGCAUCGUUUUGACCUUUCAAAGUCAUUAAUGACCCAAUGAAUAGCCAUAGAAAUGCCGCAAUAUUGCUUCAAGAUGCUGAAUAAGUCAA
rnacentral:lncRNA from 1 species